UAAAAAGGACCAAGUCGGCUAAAAGCGCUGACGUCCUGUCAGCAACGCCGACACUAGUACAUCCUGUACG
rnacentral:sRNA from 1 species